GGGCCCAUAGCUCAGCUUGGUAGAGCNNCGUGCCCGCCGAUAAAGGUCAGGGCGCCUGUGGGAAAUCCACGUGUCGAGGGUUCGAACGGGACCCACUGUGAGAAAACCAGUGGUUUCCUUAAUCCCUCAAAAUCCCUCUGGGCCCG
rnacentral:tRNA from 1 species